rnacentral:rRNA from 1 species
CCUACGGGGGGCAACAGUGGGGAAUAUUGGGCAAUGGACGCAAGUCUGACCCAGCAACGCCGCGUGAAGGAAGAAGGCUUUCGGGUUGUAAACUUCUAUCAGCAGGGAAGAAAAUGACGGUACCUGACUAAGAAGCCCCGGCUAACUACGUGCCAGCAGCCGCGGGAAUACGUAGGGGGCAAGCGUUAUCCGGAUUUACUGGGUGUAAAGGGAGCGUAGGCGGUUUAGCAAGUCAGAAGUGGAAGCCCGGGGCUCAACUCCGGGACUGCUUUUGAAACUGUUGAACUAGAUUGCAGGAGAGGUAAGUGGAAUUCCUAGUGUAGCGGUGAAAUGCGUAGAUAUUAGGAGGAACACCAGUGGCGAAGGCGGCUUACUGGACUGUAAAUGACGCUGAGGCUCGAAAGCGUGGGGAGCAAACAGGAUUAGAUACCCGAGUAGUC